rnacentral:tRNA from 2 species
GGCCAGGUAGCUCAGUCGGUAGAGCACUUGAUUGAAAAUCAAGGGGUCCCCGGUUCAAGUCCGGGUCUGGCCACCA